AGCUUUUCGAAUCCGUGCUGAGAUUUCGUCCGAUACCAGCCCAUUAGGGCUGAUCAGACAUAAGUAAAGCG
rnacentral:pre_miRNA from 1 species